rnacentral:misc_RNA from 1 species
CCGAGUUUACAACUCCCAAACCCCAUGUGAACAUACCUGUUUCGUUCCCUCGGCGGUGUCCGGCAACGGCCCGCCAGAGGACCCAACAAACUCUUUUGAAUUUUUCAGUAUCUUCUGAGUAAAAAAAACAAUAAAUCA